GUGAGUCAUCGAAUCUUUGAACGCACCUUGCGCCCCUUGGCUAUUCCGAGGGGCAUGCCUGUUUGAGUAUCAUGAACACCUCAACUCUCAUGGUUCGCCAUGAUGAGCUUGGACUCUGGGGGUUUUGCUGGCCUGUGGUCGGCUCCCCUCAAAUGAAUCAGCCUCCCAGUGUUUGGUGGCAUCACGGGUGUGAUAAAUAUCUACGCUCGCGGUUGUCUGCCAGGUAACCUUUGGUGACAAAGGUUCGCUGGAGCUCACAGAUGUCUCUCCUCGGCGAGGACAGCUUUUUUGAACGUUCGAUCUCAAAUCAGGUAGGACUACCCGCUGAACUUAAGCAUAUCAAUAAGCGGAG
rnacentral:rRNA from 1 species